CCUACGAGCGGCAGCAGUGGGGAAUAUUGGACAAUGGGCGAAAGCCUGAUCCAGCCAUGCCGCGUGUGUGAAGAAGGCCUUCGGGUUGUAAAGCACUUUCAGUGGGGAAGAAAGCCUUGGGGCUAAUACCCUCGAGGAAGGACAUCACCCACAGAAGAAGCACCGGCUAACUCCGUGCCAGCAGCCGCGGUAAUACGGAGGGUGCGAGCGUUAAUCGGAAUUACUGGGCGUAAAGCGCGCGUAGGCGGUCUGAUAAGCCGGUUGUGAAAGCCCCGGGCUCAACCUGGGAACGGCAUCCGGAACUGUCAGGCUAGAGUGCAGGAGAGGAAGGUAGAAUUCCCGGUGUAGCGGUGAAAUGCGUAGAGAUCGGGAGGAAUACCAGUGGCGAAGGCGGCCUUCUGGACUGACACUGACGCUGAGGUGCGAAAGCGUGGGUAGCAAACAGGAUUAGAUACCCCAGUAGUC
rnacentral:rRNA from 1 species